GACGAACGCUGGCGGCGUGCUUAACACAUGCAAGUCGAACGGAAAGGCCCUGCUUUUGUGGGGUGCUCGAGUGUCGAACAGGUGAGAAACACAUGUGUAACCUGCCCUUGGCAUUGUGGUAACUUCAGUGAAAUGGGGCUCUUACAGGGUAUAAGCUCCGGCUGCAUGGUGUGGGUGGGAAAGUUUCAGCGGUUGGGGAUAUGCUCGCGGCGUAUCAGCUUGUUGGUGUGGUAGUGGCUCACCAAGGCUUUGACGGGUAGCCGGCCUGAGAGGGUGACCGGCCACAUUGGGACUGAGAUACGGCCCAGACUCCUACGGGAGGCAGCAGUGGGGAAUAUUGCACAAUGGGCGGAAGCCUGAUGCAGCAACGCCGCGUGCGGGAUGACGGCCUUCGGGUUGUAAACCGCUUUCGGCAGGGACGAAGCGUGAGUGACGGUACCGGCUGAAGAAGCACCGGCUAACUACGUG
rnacentral:rRNA from 1 species